AUGAGCAGCAAUGAGUGUUUCAAGUGUGAAUGAUCGGGCCACUGGGCCCGGGAAUUUCCUACUGGAGGAGGUUGUGGUUGUGGAAUGAGAAGCCGUGGCAGAGGUGGUUUUUAUCUCAGAUAGAGGUUUCCAGAUCUCUUUCACACAUCUUUUACCAUUGUGGUGAGUCUGGUCAUAGUACCAAGGAUUGUGAUCUUCAGGAAGAUGCCUGCUAUAACUGCAGUAGAGGUAGCCACAUUGCCAAGGACUGUAAGGAGCCAAAGAGAAAGUGGGAGAAGUGUUGCUACAGUUGUGGCAAACCAGGUCAUCUGGCUCAUGAUUGUGACCAUGUGGAUGAGCAGAAGUGCUAUUGUUGUGGAGAGUUUGGACACAUUCAGAAAGACUGCACCAAAGUGAAGUACUAUAGUUGAGGUGAGACUAGUCAGGUAGCCACCAAUUGCAGCAAGAUAAGUGAAGUCAACUGUUAUUGCUGUGGCAAGUCAGGGCAUCUUGUAUGGGAGUGCACAACUGAGGCCACAGUCUAAUUACUUUCCUUUGUUGCCCCUCCUUUUUCUGAUUGAUGGUCGUAUUAUUUUCUCUGAAUCCUCUUCACUGGCCAAAGGUUGGCAGAUAGAGGCUACUCCCUGGCCAGUGAGCUUUACUUGCCAUGUAAAAGGAGGAAAGGGGUGGGAAAAAAACCAAUUUUCUGCAUUUAACUACAAAUAAGUUUAUGUUUAGUUUGGUAGA